rnacentral:rRNA from 1 species
AGAGUUUGAUUCUGGCUCAGAAUGAACGCUGGCGGCAUGGAUUAGGCAUGCAAGUCGAACGGGGCCCUUCGGGGCCCAGUGGCGAAAGGGUGAGUAACACGUGAGGAACCUGCCCGGAAGGCCGGAAUAAGCGCUGGAAACGGCGUGUAAUGCCGGAUGAGGCGGCGCCGGGGCAUCCCGGCUCCGCGAAAGAUUCAUCCCUUCCGGAUGGCCUCGCGGCCCAUUAGCUGGUUGGCGGGGUGAAGGCCCACCAAGGCUUUGACGGGUAGGUGGUCUGAGAGGAUGGUCACCCACACUGGGACUGAGACACUGCCCAGACUCCUUCGGGAGGCUGCAGUCGAGAAUCUUCCGCAAUGGGCGCAAAGCCUGACGGAGCGAUGCCGCGUGAGGGACGAAGGCCUUCGGGUUGUAAACCUCUGUCACCCGGGACGAGACAGACGGUACCGGGAGAGGAAGCCACGGCUAACUACGUGCCAGCCGCUGC